rnacentral:rRNA from 1 species
UACGUAGGGUGCAAGCGUUGUCCGGAAUUAUUGGGCGUAAAGAGCUCGUAGGCGGUUUGUCGCGUCUGCUGUGAAAAUCCAGGGCUUAACCCUGGACCUGCAGUGGGUACGGGCAGACUAGAGUGCGGUAGGGGGAGAUCGGAAUUCCUGGUGUAGCGGUGAAAUGCGCAGAUAUCGUAAGGAAGACCAGUGGCGAAGGCGGGGUCUCUGGACAGUUCCUGACGCUGAGGCACGAAGGCCAGGGGGAGCAAACGGGG